rnacentral:rRNA from 1 species
UGGGGAAUUUUGGACAAUGGGCGAAAGCCUGAUCCAGCAAUGCCGCGUGUGUGAAGAAGGCCUUCGGGUUGUAAAGCACUUUUGUCCGGAAAGAAAUCCUUGGCUCUAAUACAGUCGGGGGAUGACGGUACCGGAAGAAUAAGCACCGGCUAACUACGUGCCAGCAGCCGCGGUAAUACGUAGGGUGCAAGCGUUAAUCGGAAUUACUGGGCGUAAAGCGUGCGCAGGCGGUUUGCUAAGACCGAUGUGAAAUCCCCGGGCUCAACCUGGGAACUGCAUUGGUGACUGGCAGGCUAGAGUAUGGCAGAGGGGGGUAGAAUUCCACGUGUAGCAGUGAAAUGCGUAGAGAUGUGGAGGAAUACCGAUGGCGAAGGCAGCCCCCUGGGCCAAUACUGACGCUCAUGCACGAAAGCGUGGGGGAGCAAAACAGGAUUAGAUACCCUGGUAGUCCACGCCCUAAACGAUGUCAACUAGUUGUUGGGGAUUCAUUCCUUAGUAACGUAGCUAACGCGUGAAGUUGACCGCCUGGGGAGUACGGUCGCAAGAUUAAAACUCAAAUGAAUUGAC